rnacentral:sRNA from 1 species
GGCUAGGUCUUGGAGGCUGGUGUAAGGCGAUGCGGGUGAAGGCAGGAGGCUGAUGGAAAGACUGGGGGGAAGAAAAGCCGAAAUGGAUUCACGGUGCCUUGGAUGAAGGACGAGAGGGGAACUGCAAGCUCCUUCAACUGGUUCUGUCCGGUGAGAAGUGAUCAAGCUUGGGCUGACAAGAGGCUCAGGGAGCCCUCACGUUCUUUCGCUUUUUUACCUGCCAAUCAAACUGCUACAAGACAACACCCUGAUCUGGCAUGGACAUCGCGGGUCCAAGCCUGUAGCCCCAAAUCGGAUAAUCUCUGCAGCUGAUAACAAGCAAAAGAGAAGCCAGGCAACAGCCAUAUUAAAGAAGAAAACAAUCAACUCUGAGGAAGAAAUGUAAUGAAUUGAGUGCUGUCAGAGAUGUCUUCUGUUUGAACAAUCUGCGAUGGGCUGAAUGGCAGGGACUCCCUCAUCCAGUGCAGAUCCAACUUAGAAAUAAUGUUUCAUUCAAGAUAAGGCUCGUGAUUUAGGAGAUUGUGACCUGGCUUGCAUCAUUCUAAGACUUCUAUCAUCUGUUUUCAAAACCCAAGGAGGACCUCAUUUUCUGUGUGAUAGUUCCUCAUGCUUUGCCAGCCACUGUGUCUUUAAGGAAGCUUGCCAAGAGUUCCUGGCUGG